ensembl:snoRNA
GCAUGGGUUUGGAUUUAUGCCAGGUCCAAUCCCAUGGGCCUCUCAUAGUGUCCCAUGUCAAAGCAAACUGUAACCCCGAACCAUUGCCUGGAUUCACCCCAUGGGCUUCAGGUACUGAAUCAGGUUGCAUAGUG